AGCAUCUACAAGAUGCAUCAGUGACUUCAACUCUCUCUCUGUUGCAAUAGGAGUCUCACCUGGAGAGUCUCACUUGACAGAGUGCAGAAUGCGUUGCUCGUUUUCGUUUAUUUCAUGCUCUACUUGUAAGCCGACCAGAUGCAAAUGUAUGCAUGAAUGGGAUAGUCAAUGGCAUAAAAAAGCGGAGAGGAUAUCGUAAAACGUAUAGCCAGAUUGCAUCCGAUACUGAUGCCAAUGCUGGGGGCAAGUGCCUCGCCUCAGGCAACUGGCCAGAAUGGCCGAUGGUCCAUAGGUACACCUGGGCAGAAUGAAAUAAAUAAAAUAUUUUGGGUAAAAGAGAUGUGAAUCAUUGGUUUAAAUAAAACUAGUUUUAGU